rnacentral:rRNA from 1 species
AGCGAACGCUGGCGGCAGGCCUAACACAUGCAAGUCGAACGAAGCCUUCGGGCUUAGUGGCGGACGGGUGAGUAACACGUGGGAACGUACCUUUUGGUUCGGAAUAACGCAGAGAAAUUUGCGCUAAUACCGGAUGAGCCCUUCGGGGGAAAGAUUUAUCGCCGAAAGAUCGGCCCGCGUUGGAUUAGGUAGUUGGUGUGGUAAAGGCGCACCAAGCCUACGAUCCAUAGCUGGUCUGAGAGGAUGAUCAGCCACACUGGGACUGAGACACGGCCCAGACUCCUACGGGAGGCAGCAGUGGGGAAUCUUGCGCAAUGGGCGAAAGCCUGACGCAGCCAUGCCGCGUGAAUGAUGAAGGUCUUAGGAUUGUAAAAUUCUUUUACCAGGGACGAUAAUGACGGUACCUGGAGAAAAAGCCCCGGCUAACUUCGUGCCAGCAGCCGCCGUAAUAC